rnacentral:rRNA from 1 species
AACGAACGCUGGCGGCAGGCCUAACACAUGCAAGUCGAGCGGGACCUUCGGGUCUAGCGGCGGACGGGUUAGUAACGCGUGGGAACGUGCCCAAAGGUACGGAAUAGCCUCGGGAAACUGAGAGUAAUACCGUAUGUGCCCCUCGGGGGAAAGAUUUAUCGCCUUUGGAUCGGCCCGCGUUGGAUUAGGUAGUUGGUGGGGUAAUGGCCUACCAAGCCGACGAUCCAUAGCUGGUUUGAGAGGAUGAUCAGCAACACUGGGACUGAGACACGGCCCAGGCUCCUACGGGAGGCAGCAGUGGGGAAUCUUAGACAAUGGGGGAAACCCUGAUCUAGCCAUGCCGCGUGAGCGAUGAGGGCCUUAGGGUUGUAAAGCUCUUUCAGAUGGGAAGAUAAUGACGGUACCAUCAGAAGAAGCCCCGGCUAACUCCGUGCCAGCAGCCG